UUAGCUCUAUACAUACAGAAACACAGGCACGUGCGGUCCCGGAUACGUACUUAUCCCGCAAUCCCCACGGGAAGCGUGGCCGCCUGCCACUCCCCGGUUGCGGGGCCCGACGAGCUGCGGCGGCCCACGAGUGCCCCCUCCCGUAGCGGCGGGACAGCGCGGCGGGACAGCUCGGCGUCCCUGCCCCUGCCCCUGCCCCUGCCCCUGCCCCUGCCCCUGCCCCUGCCGCCGCCUUACCACAGCGCCCCAGGCGGGCUGGCGGACGGGCGCGGGGCGCCCCGGGGCUGCUUCUGCUCCUCAGGACGGGCCCGGGCCGCGCGGCCAGGCCGCGGUUUCGGAGUUGUGGUGGCUUCUGAGGGCCCGGAGGAACCGAGCUCGGCUUUCUUGGGUUGGUGGGGGGCACCAUACGGCCUCCUUCCUCGGCAGCGGCUGCUGAAUGUCUGCAAAGUACACCGGUGGUGUAAAGUAGGCAUUAAAGGGAUCCUAGAGAAGAGGGGAGUCCGGAGAGUUUCAAGUCCUUUGGUUAUUACAUUUAAUUCUCAGCAAUGUGAAAUCCAGCACCUCAAGAUGUCAGAAUUUCACUGGGACCAGAACUGACCCAAGAUGAAACUCAGGAUGACCAAAUGUGAAAUAAAUUGCCACAAGUGAGAAAUAAUCAAGUAAAAAUGGACUAAAAAGCCUAUUCUGGGAUAAGUGAUGAUUACAAAAAUGAAAACACUGGCUACUUUAGCAGGACUGUAACUGGAGGAGGUCAGUUCAAAGAGGACCUUGUUCUGAAUAUUCUAAUCCUGACAGUGGGACUGAAAGCAGCACAAGCUUAUCACAAGUACUUUUGUUUUUGGAGGGGCUUUUUUGAAAAGCACAAGUAAGCUACAGCUCAUUUAAGCUGUUAUUCAACCUCAUAAUGACUGUUAUCAUCAUCAGACUGAAUGUUUGGAUUUUUUUUACAAUGAGGGUGGCCAGACACCGGGACAGGCUUCCCAGAGAGGCGCUUGGUGCCCCGGGCCUGUCGGUGUUGGAGAGACGCUGGUACGGUGCCCGCACUGACAGGCGUCAGCUUCUGGGGAGCCCUGCGGUGGUCAGGCGGGUGGCUGGGGGGCUGGGUGUGUCCUUUGCACUGAACUAUUCUAUCAUAAAUCGUUUUGAUUUUCUUUCCUGUGUCUUACAUAGUUAGAGUCUUUCAUAAUGUAUGUAUCCUUUUUUUUCUUUCUUUCUUUUUUUUUUUUUUUUAUUUCUUUCGUGGCCUUUUGAGAGGUUACCUUCACAAUCCUGAAGACUUAGCUGAGAAAAAAGUUAAUGUUUUUUCAAAGAAGCAAAUCCAUAUUAACAACAGGUUGUCAUAGUUGCUGACCUCAGUGGGUGACCUGUUUUCACCCAUUAGGGA
rnacentral:lncRNA from 1 species